rnacentral:rRNA from 1 species
CAGCACCUCAAGUGGUCAGGAUGAUUAUUGGGCCUAAAGCAUCCGUAGCCUGUUCUGUAAGUUUCCGGUUAAAUCCAUUAGCUCAACUAGUGGGCUGCCGAAAAUACUGCAUAACUAGGGAGUGGGAGAGGUAGACGGUACUCGGUAGGAAGGGGUAAAAUCCUUUGAUCUAUUGAUGACCACCUGUGGCGAAGGCGGUCUACCAGAACACGUUCGACGGUGAGGGAUGAAAGCUGGGGGAGCAAACCGGAUUAGAUACCCGAGUAGUCC